rnacentral:rRNA from 1 species
CACUUCGGUGUGAGUAGAGCGGCGGACGGGUGAGUAAUGCUUGGGAAUCUACCUAGUAGUGGGGGAUAACGUGUGGAAACGCACGCUAAUACCGCAUACGUCCUACGGGAGAAAGCAGGGGAUCUUCGGACCUUGCGCUAUUAGAUGAGCCCAAGUCGGAUUAGCUAGUUGGUGGGGUAAUGGCUCACCAAGGCUACGAUCCGUAGCUGGUCUGAGAGGAUGAUCAGCCACACUGGGACUGAGACACGGCCCAGACUCCUACGGGAGGCAGCAGUGGGGAAUAUUGCACAAUGGGCGAAAGCCUGAUGCAGCCAUGCCGCGUGUGUGAAGAAGGCUCUAGGGUUGUAAAGCACUUUCAGUAGGGAGGAACAGCUUAAGACUAAUACUCUUGAGCCUUGACGUUACCUACAGAAGAAGCACCGGCAAACUCCGUGCCAGCAGCCGCGGUAAUACGGAGGGUGCGAGCGUUAAUCGGAAUUACUGGGCGUAAA